UACGGGGGGAGCAAGCGUUGUUCGGAUUUACUGGGCGUAAAGGGCGCGUAGGCGGUCAGCACAAGUCAGUUGUGAAAUCUCCGGGCUUAACUCGGAAAGGUCAACUGAUACUGUGCGACUAGAGUGCGGAAGGGGCAACUGGAAUUCUCGGUGUAGCGGUGAAAUGCGUAGAUAUCGAGAGGAACACCUGCGGCGAAGGCGGGUUGCUGGGCCGACACUGACGCUGAUGCGCGAAAGCGUGGGGAGC
rnacentral:rRNA from 1 species